AAAAUACGAAAAGUAAUGUGAAUUGCAGAAUUCAGUGAAUCAUCGAAUCUUUGAACACACCUUGCGCUCCUUGGUAUUCCUUGGAGCAUGCCUGUUUGAGUAUCAUGAAAUCUUCAAAGUAAAUCUUUUGUUAACUCAAUUGGUUUCUACUUUGGUAUUGGAGGUCUUUGCAGCUUCACACCUGCUCCUCUUUGUUCAUUAGCUGGAUCUCAGUGUUAUGCUUGGUUCCACUCGGCGUGAUAAGUUAUCUAUCGCUGAGGACACUGUAAAAGGUGGCCAAGGUAAAUGCAGAUGAACCGCUUCUAAUAGUCCAUUGACUUGGACAAUACUUUUAUGAUCUGAUCUCAAAUCAGGUAGGACUACCCGCUGAACUUAAGC
rnacentral:misc_RNA from 1 species